rnacentral:rRNA from 1 species
AUUGAACGCUGGCGGCAGGCUUAACACAUGCAAGUCGAACGAGUGGCGGACGGGUGAGUAAUGCUUGGGAAUCUAGCUUAUGGAGGGGGAUAACUACGGGAAACUGUAGCUAAUACCGCGUACCCUAGGAUGAGCCCAAGUGGGAUUAGGUAGGUGGUGAGGUAAAGGCUCACCAAGCCGACGAUCUCUAGCUGGUCUGAGAGGAUGACCAGCCCAACGGGGACUGUGACACGGCCCAGACUCGUACGGGAGGCAGCAGUGGGGACUAUGGCGCAAUGGGGGCAACCUGACGCAGCAAUGCCGCGUGAAUGAAGAAGGACUGCGGGGUGUAAAGUGCUUUCGGUAGCGAUGCGUUAACUACAGAAGAAGCACCGGCUAACUCCGUGCCAGCAGCCGCGGUAAUUC